rnacentral:misc_RNA from 1 species
UGUGGGAGCGGGCUUGCUCGCGAAUGCGGUGGGUCAGUCAGCACCUGUAUUGACUGAUUCACCAUAUUCGCGAGCAAGCCCGCUCCCACA